UAAGAAAAUAGAGUCAUAUUUUAUGAUAAUAUUGAUUCUGGAGAACAACUGAGGAUGCUAUGUUUUUUCCUUGAAGAAUUGAUAGGGUGGAAUUCUAGAGGCACCAUAUGAUGUUCUUCUGAAGAAAAGUUCAGGGGGUCAUGAAACCCAGGCUUAAUACCCCCAGAAAACUGCAAGUGUAUGGAUUCUCCAUCACCAGGGGGCCAGGUGAUUCUUGAAGGAAUCACAAAGAGAAUACUUUGAGAUGGGGAAAAAAAACUCAGAAAAUUUGUCAUUUUUGUAAGAUGCUGGUCUCCUGAAUAUUUCUGCAAGUACCCAGACAUGUGUUUGAUCUAAAAAGGGAAUCUUCAGAAAUUCUCCACAAAUACUCCAAGAAAUCACAAAAUGAGGGUCAUACAACCUUUGCCUAUGCAAAUAAACGAUGUUUAAAUCUUCCCACUGACCAAAAAAAUAAAAAUGUCAUCAAAAAUUGUUUCAGAAAGAAUGAAUCAGGAAGCAAGAAAUGUCAG